rnacentral:rRNA from 1 species
AUGGAUGUGAACCUUCAGAAAUCAAAUGUUUCGUGCCGGCGCGGCUCCGGCGCCUGCUGGAUGGUGCUCCUGGAACAAGACGGCACGGAGGCCCUCCUCUUGCAGGAUGUGCUGACGCGGCGCACGCAGCGGCAUGUUUGGGGCAAGCUUGAGCGCGAUGGCCUUGUCUCAACGAUGACGGCGGUGAACGUUGGUGCUCCUUCUCGUCCUCUAUCUCCAAGGACAUGCGCCGGUACAGCUCGGGCAACCCCGCCCCUGAACGCCGUCCACCCAUCCGGCGAUGUACAGGUCGUCCUCACGUGUGUGGAUUCGCCUCUUGCUGGACUCAACACUUGCAAUGUGGACAUGGUACCGGCAAGGAGUGCACUUUGUGAGAAGUGCUAG